ensembl:lncRNA
UUCGUAUUGUCUAUGGUGGGCUGGGUGGAAAAAUAGUCAGGCGGAGGAGGAGAAACAUCAAACAGGUGCACUGGAGAACACUGUCUGCCGGAAAUUGCUUUAUAGCCAGCCAAUCAGAAUGGGAUGGCCAAUUUUUGGAUGCUGAGACUAGUUACAACAUACUAAAGAGCUAAAGGUAUGAAGAAUAUCCACCAUCAUACUGUUAAUUUGUUAAGGAAAAUUAGAAAAUGUUUUGCUACUGUACGUUUUCGUAAGUAAAUAAUUAUAUGUAAGAGAGACUAUUUGCGUUUAUGUGGAUAAUAUAAAAAAAAAGUGAUACCACAUAAACAUAUAGCUCUUUGUGCAAAACAAAACAAAACAUGUUUGUUGUAGCACAGGAGCUUGGCUUGAUUAUAUGCGUCAUACUCUGAUUAGUGCUCCAGUACUACGGCUCGGACCGACAGCUCUUCAGUAUCCCAGGAGAGCCUCACCUAGUUAAGGAGGCUUAUUAGAUUUGUCCUAUAAGAGGAACGGAGAGUAGCUGAAGAGAAACACGGCAUAUGGACAUAGACUUGUGUCCCACCUAAUUACAGGCAUUAUCUCAUUUGCUAUUGUAAGGUACUGUUGUGCCAUCUUCCAUUUAUUUAAUUAUGCUUUUCACAUAUUGGCAUAGGGGCCAUUUGGACAAAAUUUCCAAACAGAGGGGGUUUUACACAGUUUAAAAAAAAAUCUGCCUUUUCAGGAGUGUGCUGCAAUUUGUCAAGCAAUUAGCCACACUAAUUAAAUUUCUGUACCUCUAAUCAAACGAAUAUGCUAAAACAUUCUUGCUGCUGCCAGUCUGAUGUCUGUUCACAUUUAACUUGAUGGUUUAAAAGAGGCUCCUACUCUGCCUCCCCUCUCCACUUAAUCACCUCAUUUGCAUUUUAUAUUGGUAAAUCAAAUUAAGCACCCGUAGCUUUUAACUUGAUUGACUGUGGCCAGGUCCACUCAGAUGGGACUUUUUGCAGAAAAUUAGACCAAUUUUAAUGUGUGCAGAGCCUAGUUCCCCGCAUUCAGCAAAUCACAUUCACUCAGCUAAUU